UAUUUUUGGGACCUGAAAUCUGAAUUGCGGAUUCUAUUUCUCUCUCAGUUUCGACCGCGACAAGAUGGUUGAAAGUAACUCGAAGGACAACGCACUAAAACGUCAAAGAAUUGUUGACCAGCAUGACCUACCAGAUUGCUUACCGUGUAAGCUUAUAGGUGCUGGAAUGUGCUUCGCUUGUAGUUCUUAUUUAUUGUACCAAAGAGGCGUAUUAGGACGAACUAAAGCUGCAAGGUCCGUCAUUGGAGUUGCAUCAGCUGGACUAGCUGGGCUGGGAGUCUUAAGGCUUUACAAGUAAAUGAUGAAACCUCCUAAAACCUAUGAAUUAUAAUGAAGGUAACUCUAUCAAUAUCAGACAUUUUUAUUUAACAUGCAUAGGCAAUUAUGCAAUAUGUUAUGAUGAACAUGAAACUAUUCAUAUAAACCAUGCAUGUGGCAUAAAGUUCAUCAUAACCCAAAUUUUUUGAAGAUCUUUGGGGCUAGACAGAUUCCACUAAUUGACACCAAACAAUAUGUGAUAACCUUAUGUGGUAUUUCAACAUGACGUCUGUAAUCCAAAUGUUUCUCAGUCAUCUGUUUUGGUAGCAUCAUGGAAAGACCUCUUGUGACCAUCCAUUUUGACAUUACACGUGUGAUGGCCAAUAUUGUUGUUCCAAUGGCGAACCUUCCAAUAUAAUAUGUUAACAGAGUUACAAGUGACAUUUCUUUACUCUUGCCAAUAAAUUCAAGCAUGAUUUUGUCAUUAUCUGCUGAAUAGCGCAUUCCAAUGAAUGCUCCUGUAACAGCACCAAGAACUAGCGCAGUGUCUGAAAAGGUGUUGUAUGACAAUUCGCUUGACGUGGGGUACAGUUUUAGCAAUAAAACUGGAGCCAAAACUGCAAUGGAUAAUGUGUUUGGUGAUGUACGACACCAUUCCUCUAUUGGCAUAUCUUUGAGAGGCGGAAGCACUAUUAUCAUGAUAAUAAUUUCAAACAGCAUACCAUAGAGAACAUCCUAGCCAAUAUGAAUAAAGGUUUUAUUUUAAGUUGUUUUUUUCUUCUUAUGAAGAAUAACUUUAGAAAGUUAAUACAUACCUUUACAUAAUGCAUACCAAGAUAUACCCUACUUGCAGCAACCAAACUGGAGUAGAUUGCUGUUAUAAUGAAAACAUAGUGGAUGUUUUCCUAGGAGAAAUAGUGAGAAUUUUCUUACAUUGGUUUUUUGAGGCUGUAUACAAUCAUUGAAUUUCCAUAAGAAGUACCUGAUAUCUUUGUGUUGUGAAGUAAACUAGAGAAAAUGGCAUCACCACUCCAAUCAUGGCAUGAGUUGAUGGCAUGGAAUAUUCAUCAACAUAUUUUUGUGGCACUCUUAUGACAGGAGGUGAAAGUGGUCGUGAUUCAAGGAAUGUAUCUUUUGCAUAUUGGCCAAGAUAUAAUGAUAUAGCCAAUGACAAGUACACCCUUAUGAAAGCCUUUUCGUCAACAUUCCACAACACAAAGGAGAGCAAACUUAUUAAAACCUGUUCAUCACCCAGAGCAGAACAUAAAUGGAACAAUGUGUGAAUUAAAAUAUUAUAUUCAAAUAGUAAACUGUUCUGUGAAUUCCAUUUUUCAUUCAAUGGCUUAGUUUCUUUCACGUUGGGCGAAGUUUCUUUUGAAUCUUGACUGUAGUUCACAAAUUCAUCGUUGUUUUUCCACUUUAGGCCACAGAAGUUUUGAAACUGUACCACUAGAUCUUUGUCUCCUAACUUGGUCCACAUAUCUGGUGCGAAAUAUUCCACGUUUGCCAAAUGCCACGUUUGUUUUGAUGGAAUAAAUAGUUAACAUUUUUCAAAUUCGCGAAUAAUAUUGAAUAAAAAUUAUUAUUAAACAAA